UACGUAGGGUGCAAGCGUUGUCCGGAAUUAUUGGGCGUAAAGAGCUCGUAGGCGGUUUGUCGCGUCUGGCUGUGAAAUCUCUGAGCUUAACUCAGAACGGCCAAGUGAUACUGCUGUGCUCGAGUGUGGAAGGGGCAAUCGGAAUUCUUGGUGUAGCGGUGAAAUGCGUAGAUAUCAAGAGGAACACCUGAGGUGAAGACGGGUUGCUGGGCCAACACUGACGCUGAGGCGCGAAAGCCAGGGGAGCAAACGGG
rnacentral:rRNA from 1 species